rfam:Pseudozyma antarctica T-34 DNA, contig: scaffold00014.
GACGCUUUGGUGGAGUGGUUAACACGUAUCCCUGCUAUACACACAGGUUAGCAACGAGCUCUGGCUCGUGCUAGGAUAUCCUCUCUGAGGGCGUGAGUUCGAAUCUCACAGGCGUCG